rnacentral:snRNA from 1 species
GUGAGCUCACUGUCACCCCAUUGAUCGCCAGGGUUGAUUUGGCUGAUCUGGCUCACUAGGAGGGUGUCCCCUUCCUCCCUCACUGCCUCAUGUGCUUCCCUCCCAAAGCUGUGCUCUCAGUUGAAGAGGACGGCCUUCCCUGAUAGAAGGAGGACCAUCUUUAGGUCAAGGGUAUACAAGUUACUGCCUUCCCCGGCUAGAACCUCCAAACAAGUCUCAAAGUGUUAAUUUUUUAAUUAGUGUACUGAACACAGUUUGCUUAUCUCUUCUACUCUGAGUUUUCUACCACAUAAAGGAAUUACAUAU